GGGGGAAUAAAGAAUGGGAGGAAGAGAGAAAAGAAGAGGUAGAGGGGGAGAGGAGGAGGAGGAUAAGUGGAAAGAGCCUACUGCCAGCCACAGAAGUGGCCCAUACCUGAGCCAGGGGAGCCCUAGAUGCCGCCUCCCCCGACCUCCCUUUCCCAGACCCUCGAGGCUCCGCCCCAGAGGCGGGGCGGCCGAGCUCAGGGGCGGGGCUGGCGAGUGCCUAAAGGGAGCGGGACAGAGCCUUUCACUUCUGUCCCUGGGGGCCGGCCAGCCGGGGCGGGGCUGGGCGGAGCGUCGAUUCCGUAAGGCGCUCCCGGGGCCCCCGAGCCGAGCCGGCGGCGCCCUCCCGCCCAACGGCCUGUCAACAGUCGCGGGGGUCCGGGAGGGAAGACUCGGAAGCGGGCGAGGCCGUGAGUGCGUCCCGGAUCCCCUCCCAGCUGGGCGGCCAGACUUGGCCCCGGGGAGGGGGCGGGAUGUGCUCCGCCGGGGAGCUGCUGCGCGGCGCGGGCGGCGACGGGGAGCCGGACGAGGACGAGGACGGAGCCGACUCUGGGUUGGAGGGGCCGGAGCCGGGGCCGGGGCCGGAGCUUACGAAGCCGGAGGAGCAGGACAGCGGCCAGAGCCUGCUCGCGGGGCAACAGCCCCAGCAGCAGCAGCCGAGGAGGCGCGGGCGUCCCCGGCAGCCGCAGCCGCAGCCGCAGCAGCAGCAGCAGCAGCAGCGUGGUCCUGGAGGAGGCGGCCAGGAGCAGCCGGAGCAGGACAUAGAAGAAUCACAAAAUCAUAGUGUGGAACCUGUUAUAGAUGACUACAAAAAGAUGGGAACCCUUUUUGGUGAACUGAACAAAAGCCUAAUCAACAUGGGCUUCACAAGGAUGUAUUUCGGAGAACGGAUUGUGGAGCCAGUCAUAGUCAUUUUCUUUUGGUUUAUGCUCUGGUUUCUUGGCCUACAAGCCCUUGGACUAGUCGCUGUUCUUUGCAUUGUCAUUAUUUAUGUACAAGAAUAAAACAUAGCUGACCCAUGUGUGGUUUGACA
rnacentral:lncRNA from 1 species